CCUACGGGAGGCAGCAGUAAGGAAUAUUGGUCAAUGGGCGCAAGCCUGAACCAGCCAUGCCGCGUGCAGGAAGACGGCCCUAUGGGUUGUAAACUGCUUUUGAACAAGAGAAAACCUCGGUACGUGUACCGAGCUGAUAGUAUUGUUAGAAUAAGCAUCGGCUAACUUCGUGCCAGCAGCCGCGGUAAGACGAAGGAUGCAAGCGUUAUCCGGAUUCAUUGGGUUUAAAGGGUGCGUAGGCGGCCUGAUAAGUCAGUGGUGAAAUCUCUCAGCUUAACUGAGAAACUGCCAUUGAUACUGUCGGGCUUGAGUACAGAUGAUGUGGGCGGAAUAUGACAUGUAGUGGUGAAAUACUUAGAUAUGUCAUAGAACACCGAUUGCGAAGGCAGCUCACAAAACUGUAACUGACGCUGAGGCACGAAAGUGCGGGGAUCAAACAGGAUUAGAUACCCUGGUAGUCCGCACCGUAAACGAUGAUUACUCGUUGUUGGCAAUAUGACCGUCAGCGACCAAGCGAAAGCGAAUAAGUAAUUCCACCUGGGGAGUUACGCCGGCACGGUUGAACUUAAGGAAUUGAGG
rnacentral:rRNA from 1 species